rnacentral:rRNA from 1 species
UUUCGGCUAUCGCUUACAGAUGGGCCCGCGGUGCAUUAGCUAGUUGGUAGGGUAAUGGCCUACCAAGGCAACGAUGCAUAGCCGACCUGAGAGGGUGAUCGGCCACACUGGGACUGAGACACGGCCCAGACUCCUACGGGAGGCAGCAGUAGGGAAUCUUCCGCAAUGGACGAAAGUCUGACGGAGCAACGCCGCGUGUAUGAAGAAGGUUUUCGGAUCGUAAAGUACUGUUGUUAGAGAAGA